GCGGCGGGCAGGGCGGACGGGCGCGGGCCGCGCGUGGCGGCGGCGAUGGGCGAAGGCGGGCUGCCCCCGGCCUUUCAGCUGCUGCUGCGCGCGUGUGACCAGGGCGACACGGAGACCGCGCGGCGGCUGCUGGAACCGGGGGCGGCGGAGCCAGCCGAGCGCGGCGCGGAGCCGGAGGCGGGGGCGGAGCCAGCGGGGGCCGAGGCGGCCGGGUCCGGGGCCUCAACAGCGGUUACGGUCGGCGCUCCGGUGCCUGUGGACUGCUCGGACGAGGCGGGCAACACCGCGCUGCAGUUCGCGGCGGCCGGGGGCCACGAAACGCUGGUGCGCUUCCUGCUGCGCCGCGGCGCCUCGGUCAACAGCCGUAACCACUACGGCUGGAGCGCGCUCAUGCAGGCGGCCAGAUUUGGGCAUGUGAGUGUGGCACACCUCCUGUUGGAUCAUGGGGCUGAUGUCAAUGCCCAGAACCGGCUGGGGGCCAGUGUGCUCACUGUGGCCUCUCGAGGUGGCCACCUGGGUGUGGUGAAGCUGCUCCUGGAAGCUGGUGCCUUUGUGGACCAUCACCACCCCUCGGGCGAGCAGCCGGGGUUGGGCAGCAGCAGGGAUGAGCCCCUGGACAUCACAGCCCUGAUGGCCGCCAUCCAGCAUGGGCAUGAGGCUGUGGUGCGUCUACUGAUGGAGUGGGGCGCAGAUCCCAACCGCACAGCCCGGACCGUGAACUGGAGCCCGCUGAUGCUGGCUGCACUCACUGGGCGACUUGGAGUGGCCCAGCAGCUGGUGGAGAAGGGCGCCAACCCUGACCACCUCAGCGUGCUGGAGAAGACUGCCUUCGAGGUUGCACUGGACUGCAAGCACAGGGACCUUGUAGACUACCUGGACCCGCUGACCACCGUCAGACCCAAAACAGAUGAGGAGAAAAGGCGACCUGAUAUUUUCCAUGCAUUGAAAAUGGGAAACUUCCAGCUGGUCAAAGAGAUUGCCGAUGAAGACCCCAGCCACGUGAACUUGGUCAAUGGGGACGGGGCGACCCCAUUGAUGCUAGCGGCUGUUACAGGGCAGCUGGCACUGGUGCAGCUACUGGUGGAGAGGCAUGCGGAUGUUGACAAGCAGGACAGCGUGCAUGGCUGGACGGCCCUCAUGCAGGCCACCUACCAUGGGAAUAAGGAAAUUGUCAAAUAUCUGCUAAACCAAGGGGCUGAUGUCACUCUUCGUGCGAAAAAUGGAUACACAGCCUUUGACCUGGUGAUGCUGCUGAAUGAUCCCGACACGGAACUUGUUCGACUGCUGGCAUCUGUCUGCAUGCAGGUGAAUAAAGACAAAGGCCGGCCGAGCCACCAGCCACCCCUGCCCCACUCGAAGGUCCGACAGCCCUGGAGCAUCCCAGUGCUGCCUGAUGACAAGGGUGGGCUGAAGUCCUGGUGGAACCGAAUGUCCAAUCGGUUCCGAAAGCUCAAACUGAUGCAGACGCUUCCCCGUGGGCUAUCCAGCAACCAGCCUUUGCCUUUCUGUGACGAGUCUGAGCCAGCUCUGGACUCCACAAUGAGGGCCGCCCCCCAGGACAAGACAAGCCACUCUGCACUCCCUGAUGCAGCUCCUGUGACCAAAGACAAUGGUCCUGGGAGCACAAGAGGAGAAAAGGAAGACGCAUUAUUGACAAUCAUGCUUCGAAACGGAGCUCCCCUCACCAGACUCCCGAGUGACAAGCUGAAAGCUGUCAUCCCGCCGUUCCUUCCCCCUUCCAGUUUUGAACUGUGGAGCUCUGAUCGGUCCCGGACGCGUCACAAUGGGAAGGCAGACCCCACGAAGACUGUGCUGCCCCAGAGAGCCAGCAGGGGCCACCCCAUGGGCAGUGUGAGCACAGAUACCACACCUGUCAGGCCUGUUAAAUUUCCAAGCCUCUCCAGAAGUCCAGCCUCUCCCACCAAUUCUGGAAACUUCAACCACUCGCCUCAUUCAUCUGGAGGCUCCAGUGGGGUAGGAAGUAUGAGCCGACACGCUGGGGAACUGCUUAACCGCUCUGGUGGCAGUAUAGACAACGUCUUGUCCCAGAUCGCUGCCCAGAGGAAGAAAGCAGCUGGAUUAUCGGAGCAGAAACCCAGCCAUCGGUCAGCCCCUGUGGGGCCAGCACUGGGGUCCAGCCUGUCUGAGCUUCCAGCCUCCCCUGCAGGUGGCAGCAUUCCCGUUGGCAAGCAGAAAUUGGAGACCAGCAAAAGGCCUCCGUCUGGAACUUCCACUACCUCCAAGAGUACCUCCCCAACCCUCACGCCCUCCCCUUCACCCAAAGGGCACACUGCAGAGUCCUCAGUGUCUUCCUCCUCGUCCCAUCGGCAGUCCAGGAGCAGUGGGGGCUCCAGCAGUGGCACCAUCACAGAUGAGGAUGAACUGACUGGAAUCCUUAAGAAAUUAUCCCUUGAGAAAUAUCAGCCCAUUUUUGAGGAACAGGAGUCUGUCUCUGUCUCGUGCGUGGUGGGGGAAAUGAGGUGGACAUGGAAGCAUUCCUCACGCUGACUGACGGCGACUUGAAGGAGCUGGGAAUUAAGACAGAUGGGUCCAGACAGCAGAUUCUGGCAGCGAUUUCUGAACUGAACGCAGGCAAGGGACGCGAGAGACAGAUUUUACAGGAAACCAUUCACAACUUCCAUUCUUCCUUUGAGAGCAGCGCCAGCAACACCAGGGCGCCUGGCAACAGCCCCUGUGCGUGAUCCUCCUUCCCACAGCCACCAGCGUGAGCUCUCUGAAUCCCGGGACCCCUUCGCAUGUCUAGGGCCCCAGCCCCACCUCCAUCACACUGCUGUGCCUUAGUCACAUUAUUUCCGUUUGCUCGAAAUGCCCCACUUCAUGUCCACUGCAUUCGUUGGUAGUACUUGUUACUGUAACAAACUUCAUACAGAGACAUUCCCAUGUGACAUUCCAGUGGGGGUGCUUCUGGUUGGCAGGUGGGUUCACACAGUGAUGCGGGGACUCAGCUCCUUUCAUCCUGUGCUCUACCCUCCCCAGGAGCCUCAGAGUUUGCUUCUGGCUGGCAGCAAGGGAAACGGACGAUGGAGAAGGCACAGCUGCCUCUUACCUGCCUUGCUCUUAACUGGCACACAUCACUCCUGCUUAGGUCCUCUUGGCUGCUGGUAGUCAUGUGGCCCCACCUGGAUGCAGAGGAGGCUGGGAUGUGCAGUCUCCAUAGAGUGGCUUCCCAGCAACAACUUUUGACUUAGAUGGGGGGUGUGUAUUAUGGUGGGGGAUGCCCCCCUGCCACAUCUUCCCUUAAAACUUCUAACUUGUCCCUCCUGGUCCAAGUCACCUCUCAGAUGAAGUCUUUUUUUUUGACCCCCUUUCAACCCCUGGGUGCCUUCCUGCUGUGUAUGUGACUGUUCUAGCAUUCCACUGCACCUGCUGCAUCCAGCUUACAGCGCGUGUUCUAGAUGCGUAUGCCAAAUGCAUUUUUCUUUAUUCCAAUCUAUUUUAGAGGGAGAGAAGAGGAGGCCUGCUGUGUGGAUCUCUUCUCCCUAGCUUUCAGUUUCCUUAUCUGCAAGGUGAAAGAUCAGACCAGAUGAUGCUCUGCUUCUCCACAGUGCUCACCCGUAUCACUGCAGGGUUUUCUGCACCGAAAGUGGAAGCAGAAGACUAAUGGCUCACAUUGUGAAAGAGUCUCUGGUGCUCAAAGGUUCUAACAGGCAAAGAAGUGACAAAUUUGGAAUUUUGUCUAGAUCCUGUUAAUGCUGUGUUCCUCAAAAGGGAAUUGGCUUGUGUUGUUGCCUACCAUAUUAUAUCAUAUUAUAUUAGAGGGGGCCUGACUUUUAAAACCCAGUGGCUUUUGAAGUGAUUUCCAAUGAAUCACUCAUUCAGCCAGUGCUUAUUGCCUUCAUGUUAGAUACCAGGCACCGAGUGUGCAGACACAAUCCAGAGCCUUCAGGCUCUCGACAGGCAAGAUAAUACCUGUAAACAGACAGUCACAGCCUUGAGAGGCAGCUUGGGGGAGUGGACAGACCGUGCCCUGGACUCAGGUUCAAAGUUCACAUGCAGCUCUAUGGCCUCUUAGUCGGAGCUUGGAACCAGUGUGCGUGAAGUGCUGGGUCUGCAGGAAGUAGCCAGUAGAUGGUAGGCUUCACAGAACUCUAGUCCCUACCCCGCGCUGCGUGAGCCACAUGUUGGUCUCCUUGGGUGGUACCGUCUCUCAUCUGUACCUCCCCCAGCCAUGAAAGCCCACGCCCCUAUGCCGGCUUUCAGAGGCAGUCGUUACCCUACUGCCCAGAGCCUCGUAGUUUUCUUCCCCUGCCCUGAUAGUGGGUAUUUUUCCUCUAAAUCCUCUCGGCCUUCCACCCACAGAAGCCAGCUUUCCACAGGACUGAAGACAAAGUAUUUCAUUUAUCUGUUACUGACAGACACAUUUACAAAGGUUUCUCAUGUCCCAGCCUUUUUAAGGAGACACACUCAUUCAUCACCUACUAUGUGCUGGCAGCUUUACCUUUGUCAUUUCAUCCUCAUGGCCACCCUGGAGGUGGCAUUGUGUAACUUCAUCUUGCACAUGCAGGAAAUGGAUGCUCAGGAGAGGGGAGCUGCAGAUCCGGUCUCAGAACCAGACCUGGUGGGCUUGCAAGUCUGUGCCUUUUCCACUAACUCCUAUAGACUCCUAGAGCUAGAAGCACUUAUGAUUCUUGUUUUAGUUUACUGAUGGCUUCAGGGAUUAACAGUAGACCUAGAAUUGUUUGCCUCUGAAAUUCUUGGCCCCUGACAUUAUGUGCUUUGAGGUUUUGUGCCUGCUUUCUGCUAUGGCCCUGUUUCUUUGAUAACUGUAUACUGGUAUAGCUUACACUCAGGUAAGUUUGCUUAAACACCAAUGAUAAACAGGAGCUAUGCCAGGGGUUCAGCUUCCCACAGAUAUAGACCUCCAUGAAUGCACUGGAUGACCCUGGACAGAGCGAGGCUAUUCCCAUUUUGCAGACAGGACAACAGAGGCUCCAGACAAUGCCUCUUUUUUCUUUUUCACUGGACUCAAGUGUCCAAGGCUUUUUCCCCUAGGCACUUUGUGUACUGGUUCACAAACGGUCCCUGGCACCCUUUCUGGGCAGGUUUGGAUGUGGCUGGUAGGCAGGGAAGAGAAAGGGCACUUCAGCAGGGUCAUGUGCAGAGGCAGCACGUAAUGUGUAACUUAUAGAUCGUCAAGGAGGAGGGGUCAGUCGGGUGCUUGUUUUUCUGAUUUUUGGUCCUUGGUCACCCCCUUCCCAGCCCACAUGUGUCCCCAGCCUGCCUCCAGGAGGCUGUUCUCCCCACGAGAAGUACCUCCCUUGCUUGGUGACCUUCACCAGCAUUUCCCAAAAGUGUGCUUCUUGGAACCCUAGUUCCACAGGAAGUUAAUAGGUUUUUCAUGAAGAAAAGUAGGAGGGGUGUGUAUGUGAAAGUUGGGUGAGGUUCCCUGGUGGAGUAAUUUGGCAGACACUGAGCUAAAGCGAGCUACGUGAUCAUCUUUGCUGCAGGCCUCGUAUAACCUUCAGUAUGCCAGCACGCCUCAGGCCUCUUCACAGGGCCAGGAAGCUUGUAGCGUCUCCCACAUUACUCUGAUCACUUCUCCAAGGUGCUUUUGCUAGACUGAAAUUCCUUGGACACCACUGGGGAAGCCCUGCUUUGGUGGGAACAGUGGCAGCCAUGAGGCCUCGCAGCCCUGGUAGUGGGUCAGGGCCGUUGGUGGCCACCUUUUUUCUCCCCAGCAGCUCUCUGCAGAGGUGGCCUACCUGGCAGUGGGACAUCAGGGGAUGGGGCCUGCUUUAGAUGGCAGGGCCCCUGUUCCGAGAGCGCUCCAUCCUGAGGCUCUCCUGUGGGGUGGAGGGCAUUGUUUCCCAGCACCCACGAGUGUCUUGCUGCUGUGUCCUAGGUGCUGGUGGUCCAUGUUCCCGCUGGCCAAGGAGGGCUCCUACCUCUCUACUUCAGCACCACAAAAUUCUAUGGAGGCCAGCUGGUUUGUGAGGAGAAAGUUUACUUUUUAAUUCUUUUGUUUACUGAACGUUUACUUAGCAUCUACUCUGUGCCAGCUCCACUCUUGUACUCUGCCUCCAAAGAUGAAAAAGGACUUCUCUGCCCUCAAGGGAACCCCGCAGUGCCUUAGAGGAGACAAGCACAUCAGUGAGAUGGUGCGGUGAUGAAGUGUGCUGGGUACGCCGCUCAGGGAAAGUCACCAGUGAUGGCUCAGGCUCAUCCUGGGCAGGCCUCAGCGCAGAGAGCUGGAGUGAGACCUCGAAGGUCAGGUUUAGGCAGGAAACAGAAAGGGCAUCCCAGCUGGGGCAUGUGCAAAGGCAACAUGUAAUGUGUAAGUUAUAGAUCAUCAGGAAGGAGGGGUCAGUUUGGUGCCUGUUUUUCUGACUUUUGGUCCUUUGAAAUGAGUAGAAGCAACCUGUUACCUUGGAAAGAGCACUGGGCCUAGAGUCAGAGGUAGUGCUGCAUGACAUUGAACAUGUUUCUUCUUCCCUCUGAGUCUCAGUUUCCCUUUUGGUUACAAGGUGCUAGAAGCCCCCAGGGAUCAGGUGAAAGUGAGAAAGCCCUUUUCACACUGUGAAGUGGUGCAGAUGUGAGAAACCUCACAGAUGGUUGCACAUUUUAAAUCCUCUCUCUUACCUCUCAUCUCUCUCCCUUCUGCCUGGACAUAGCCAUGGCUGGGUGGGUGAGACCAGAAGAAACUGCGUCUGGCAAGAGGUAGCAGCUGCUGCAGUGGCUCUGCUGGCAUCAGAGCCCAUGGAAAUGAGGGGUGGCCGACGGAUCUGCCCUCCAAAUGUGCCUGACCCUGGGUCUUGGUGUCAUUGGGAUUCUCAGCACAGCGGACAGAAAGAAAGACAGUUUGGCCAAGUCAUAGAAGCUGAUCCAUUCGGCAAAAAGAGGGCAAGGAACCCGUCUCUUUUCUGCUUACCUAGGAGCUGCCUGAAGACAUCAUCACACAGGCCAGGUGAGAGGCUAGACAACUUUGGACAUCUACACUACCUGUGCUUCCAAGUAAAUGCCUCCUGAAAGGCCCGGGACCCUUCCUCAGAGGACUCUGCAGCGAGAAUGAAGGUGCCGUCAGCAGAAGGCGCUGUGAAGCACCAUCCUGUCACUCUCCUUGUCCAUUCCUAGCAAGUUAAUUGUGUCUUGUUAACCAGCAGUUCCUGUCCAACAUGUAAAAAGACCUGAUGUUUUCCCUAAAAAAGCUGAUGCCAGAUUCUGCAGGACUGGCCUGCAGAGGGAAUCUCCGUGGGUGAGGUGGGUCCUCUGGCCUCAGGGGGCUCUGCUCCUCCUUAACAUACAGCCUAAGAGUGGAUUUAUACCCGGCCUUAAUUUCAGCCCCCCAGCUGAGAAGCCAGACCCAAAAAUAUAGUUGUUGCUAAAGCUUGGGAA